rnacentral:rRNA from 1 species
GACGAACGCUGGCGGCGUGCUUAACACAUGCAAGUCGAACGGAAAGGCCCUGCUUUUGUGGGGUGCUCGAGUGGCGAACGGGUGAGUAACACGUGAGUAACCUGCCCUUGACUUUGGGAUAACUUCAGGAAACUGGGGCUAAUACCGGAUAGGAGCUCCUGCUGCAUGGUGGGGGUUGGAAAGUUUCGGCGGUUGGGGAUGGACUCGCGGCUUAUCAGCUUGUUGGUGGGGUAGUGGCUUACCAAGGCUUUGACGGGUAGCCGGCCUGAGAGGGUGACCGGCCACAUUGGGACUGAGAUACGGCCCAGACUCCUACGGGAGGCAGAAGUGGGGAAUAUUGCACAAUGGGCGGGAGCCUGAUGCAGCGACGCCGCGUGCGGGAUGACGGCCUUCGGGUUGUAAACCGCUUUCGCCUGUGACGAAGCGUGAGUGACGGUAAUGGGUAAAGAAGCACCGGCUAACUACGUG